AUUCUCCUCAUAAAGUUUCAAAAAGCAAGGAAGGUAUGUAUCCUCUCAAAAGAGCAAAAGUAGAAUUAGACUUUCACCAUUGUUAUCACCAUCAUCACCAUACAGCAUUCAUUCGCCACAUGCACAUCUUGAUUUGGCUUAUUGAUUUGUUUCUUUGGAUCCAUGGUUUGACUAUACAAUAAAUGUCUUGUAAGUAUGUAUACUUUAUCUCCCACCUAUGAGCUCCAGAUAUUAAAGCCUUAUUAGAGUAGGGUGACAGAGAAGGCAAUAUCACUAUGCCUUAGACCACAAAUACCACAUAUCUUGAGAGAAGGCAUAGACCAUCACUGCCUUGGUAAGGAUCCAGAAAUACCACAAAAGAGAGAUUUAUAGAUUCAUACAUGGAAUCUCUGAGUUUUAUUUGAAAAUCUGCAAAAAAAACCCCAGAGCUAUAGCUGAUCAAGAAUAAGAGACAUGGCACUUGGCUAGACUGUUCUAUCUUUUAACUACUCAAGACAGAAGUGACGGUUACAAGUCCCAUGGUGAGAGGUAAAGUAAGUAAGUUUUAAUUCUUGACAGUUUACUCUAACUCAGAGAUGAGAUCUUAUUUAAAAGCAUGUGUACCGUCAAAUUUUUAAGAUAUUGCAACAACUUCUGAUCCAUAGUUGAGUCUAUCCUUGCUCAGGGACGAGCAAGAUGUAAGAUUGGGGGAGUUUGUUGACGGUCCUUAAGUAUCAAAUUUAAUUAUCAAAUAAAUAAAGAAAAUGAUCCAAAUGCAACCAACACCCAGACUUAGGGUUUUAUCUAACAGAAUUCCACGAGUUUUGGUGUUUGUCUAUUUCUGCAGGGGGUUAUCAGGAAAUACGGAAGAAAGGCCCACAUGUCGGGAUUACAUAGAGAUAUCAACGCACCGCGCAAUUUUCUACCAUCUAGAAGACUCCAGAAGCCACGAGACCGAAGCAGAGGUGAAACGGGGCCAGGACCUGGGCGCCCGCCCAGUUUCCUUGGGCGCCCGCCCACCUGUCGAGCCCAAUCAGGACUCUUUCUCUCGGGAGAUCUCCACCGACCUAUUGGAUCAAGGAAAACAUAGUACCACCUCGCCUACCGACCCAAAAACGCAUAGAGGAGGAGGACUAUAUAAGGAGACCCCCCUGGCCCCUGGAGAAGACAAGAAAUUAUCAUAGAGAUUGAGGAGUGCCCUCGAAGGAAACCUCUUCUCUAAUUAAUAUUUCUUUUUAGGCUUAGCAACCAAUGUAAGGUAGAAAUAGAUCUUCUAGUUUUUACUAGAUUGAGAGAGAUAGAGUGGAGGUGUAGAUCGGAGGAAGCCCGGCCUGUCGGUGUCUACUCCAAGCUUGUACCUACGGGAUCAAGUUCUCCUAACCUGAAGCUUGCUCCUAGGAUUCUUCAGUAUUUCGACUUCUAAAUUCUAGUAAGUUCUUGUUUUAUUGUUCUUAUGGUUUAUGAGUUUACUUUAAUCUCUUCGCGUAGGGUUUAGAGUAAUCCUUACUGGCGUAAACAUGGUGUUUAGGCUGGGGUACUCAUAGAUAUUCCCUGACUAGCUGGACCGUGGUAGUAGUGAGGAAAGUGACAAUUCCGAGUUACCUUUGCAGAUCACAUCUCGUUAGCAGGAAGGAUAGGGUUUAUAGGUGCGGGUUGAACAUCCUUUGUGGUGUCUAGAUUCCGUUAGCCUCCCCAUUAGAACAGUAGAUCAUCCUUACCAAGGUUAGAAGGAGACUACAGUUGCAGUCUUCUCUAUUUAUCACUCACAUCGAGAGACAUUCUUUGUAGCCUAAAGGGAUAGUAGCAAUAGAUUUGGUUAGUCAGAUGCACCCUUUCUCCUAGUGGUAAAAAUAUAAAUACGAUAACUCUGGAUAACCUCCCGAGUGAAAUGCUCACCGAUAUCCGUGCGCUUGCGGAUCAUUUCCUUAUUGCAUUACCAAAUAUCAACAGUCACUAUGCUACAUACUUUGAGAGAAGGCAUAUACCAUCACUGCCUUGGUAAGGAUCCAGAAAUACCACAAA
rnacentral:lncRNA from 1 species